GAACCUUGUGUUUGAUUUGCUCAGUGAGCAGGUGCUUUGCGUCAAGCUUUAAUAUUUCUGAUGGUAUCUAAGGGAUCAGGAGACCUUGCGUCUUUGUCUCAGGGCUGCUCUGGUAUGUGUAUGCGUCAUGUGUUUGUUUAGCAACAAACGAGGAAGCACACUGAGACAGAUGGCUUGAAACCACAGCCUCCAGUGACAUCACAUCGUAUCAUGCCUGCAAGGUCGCACGUGGUUCAGGUAAAACCAGACAAGCGACAUUCUGAUGAAUCUCUUUGUCCCUCCCUCUUGUUUAAUUGUCUCUUUUUCCCAUGCGUGUGUUUAUUCCUCUCCACUUCGUCUGAGUGUUACUCCUGCCAAGGCGAUCAUGGAUUACUCUCAACCCUUCUCAGUCCUCAACGAGAGGCUGAGACCUCGAUCCUCUACCAAAGAGCAGCUCAUCUCUUCCUUGGGCAGACUGGAGAACAGAAAGCUCGACUCGUUCAGGAGCAAAUCCACAUCCUACACUCAAUCCAUGCUUCAGACAGAGCCAGAGCCAAAAGUCUCCAUAACAGAUCCAGAAGAUCUGGAGGAAACCAAAAGCUACGAAGAGGAAGAAGAGUUGGUCUGUGGCUGCAAUGGAGAAGGAAAGUCUGAGGAUCUCAUGCUCUUUGACGACCUUAUUGGUGAUUUGUGUUUGAAAGAAGUGGACGAUGAGGAGAUGAGCACUGAUGACAGCAGCGUCACACAUUCUGAGGAGACAGACAGCGCAGGGGAGCUGGUUUCAGUGGGGACAAGAGACCCUUCAAAGUCUGAUGCAUCAAGUGAAGCAGAGGGCUCCUUCCAGAGGUCCUGCAUGGACAGAUCCCUCCCAGACCUGAUAAAGAGUGGCAGGCCGCUCUGCAGACGCAGAACCGUGGCGCAUGUCUCGGAGACGCUUAAGGAAGUGCGCAGAGAAGUGGAGCUGUCUCGGAGACGAAGUAUCAAACUCAAGGCCCAAGUGGACAAACUGCAGGAGAACAGAGACGGACCGGGCUGGAGCAAGCACAAGGAGAGCGUCACGGAGGAGGUUCUGUCGGUUCUGGGGUUGCUGCAUCCUCUGGUGGAGCCGGAGUUCAGCCAGCCAAAGCUCGGCGGCGGCGGGGAAAGCCGCCUGGAGACUGCUGUGGCCCAGCUGCAGAUUGUAGCUCGCAAACUGGUGAUCAGCCACAGCAAGCAGGAGUCCAAAUCUGGAACAGAGGACAGCGGUGUCCUCCAGCAAGCACUGAGGGACAGAGACGACGCCAUAGAGAAAAAGAAGGCGAUGGAGGCUGAGGUGCUGCGCAGUAAGACGGAGAUGAUGGUGCUGAACAACCAUCUGCUGGAGGCUGCACAGAAACGUCUGGAGCUCUCACUGGAGCUGGAAGCCUGGAAGGAGGACUUCCAGCGGCUUCUGCAGCAGCUGGUGCAGAUGCAGCAGCAGGCGGAUCAGGCCCAGAAGAAAUCUUCUCGCAUGGGCAUCCUGAGGAGAAUCAACAAGACACCCGUCCAGCGUCCGGCCAACUGCCCUCUGCCAGCGACAUCGACUCCUCCUACAACCAACUCCAAGCAGAUCUACAAGAUAGAAUCUGCAGGUUCUGCCUCUCCCACUCCCAGCAGCAGCAGCGGAGGAAGUGGGAGCAGCAAAGGCACCUGGAAGUUGAAAUCCAAAAAGAGCAGGAACAGUCGGCUUUGGUAUCAGGAGCAGGACUCAGAUCACUGCAAGUACGAUGACGGCUUCCAGGUCGUGUCACUGGACUAA
ensembl:lncRNA